rnacentral:rRNA from 1 species
UACAGAGGUCUCAAGCGUUGUUCGGAUUCAUUGGGCGUAAAGGGUGCGUAGGUGGCGCCAUAAGUCAGGUGUGAAAUCUCGGGCUUAACUCCGAAACUGCAUUUGAUACUGUGGUGCUUGAGGACUGGAGAGGAGACUGGAAUUCACGGUGUAGCAGUGAAAUGCGUAGAUAUCGUGAGGAAGACCAGUGGCGAAGGCGGGUCUCUGGACAGUUCCUGACACUGAGGCACGAAGGCCAGGGGAGCAAACGGG